GACGAACGCUGGCGGCGUGCUUAACACAUGCAAGUCGAACGGUGACGCGCCUUCCUUUUUGGUGGGUGUGGAUGAGUGGCGAACGGGUGAGUAACACGUGAGUAACCUGCCCCCUUCUUCUGGAUAACCGCAUGAAAGUGUGGCUAAUACGGGAUAUUCUGGGUCUGUCGCAUGAUGGGUCUGUGAAAGCUCUCGUUUCGGUGGGGGAUGGGCUCGCGGCCUAUCAGCUUGUUGGUGGGGUGCUGGCCUACCAAGGCGGUGACGGGUAGCCGGCCUGAGAGGGUGGGCGGCCACGGUGGGGCGGAGACGCGGAGAAGACUCCGAGGGGAGGCAGCAGGGGGGAUUAGGGCACAGGGGGAGGAAGCCUGAUGCAGCGACGCCGCGGGGGGGAUGGAGGCCUUGGGGUUGUGAACCUCUUUCGGGAGUGAAGCGGGCCUGCCUAGUGUGGGGGUGGGUUGACGGUAGCUGAAGAAGAAGCGCCGGCUAACUACGUG
rnacentral:rRNA from 1 species